UACGAAGGGGGCUAGCGUUGCUCGGAAUCACUGGGCGUAAAGGGUGCGUAGGCGGGUCUUUAAGUCAGGGGUGAAAUCCUGGAGCUCAACUCCAGAACUGCCUUUGAUACUGAGGAUCUUGAGUUCGGGAGAGGUGAGUGGAACUGCGAGUGUAGAGGUGAAAUUCGUAGAUAUUCGCAAGAACACCAGUGGCGAAGGCGGCUCACUGGCCCGAUACUGACGCUGAGGCACGAAAGCUA
rnacentral:rRNA from 1 species